rnacentral:rRNA from 1 species
ACUAAUAGUACAAUUGAAUUUUUUUGGUUAUGAUUAAAUGAGAAUACGAAAAAAAUUAAUAAUAUUUUUUAAGUGAAAUUUAAAAUAUUAAAAAAAAAUAAAAAAUUGAAGUCUAUAAAUUAAUUAAAAAACUAGGAUUAGAUACCCUAUUAUUAAAACUUAACUUUUUUCCUUAUGAUUAAUAGAUAUGUUCUUUAAAGUAAAAAAAUUUGGCGGUAUUUUAUUCUAAUUAGAGGAACCUGUUCUAUAAUUGAUAAUCCACGAUUAGAUAAACUUUUUCUUAUUUUGCAUAUCGUUGUUUAAAAUAUUUUUUUAGAUAUAUUUAAAAAUAAAAUUAUUAAUAAAUUCAGAUCAAGAUGUAGAGUAUGAAAAAGUAGCAAUGGGUUACAUUAAUAAAAAUUUUAGUUUGAUAUUUUUAAAAUUUUAAUAAAAUGGAUUUAAAAGUAAAUUUAAAUAUUUUUUUAAGUUGAUUUAAGCUCUAAAAU